CCUACGGGAGGCUGCAGUGGGGAAUAUUGGGCAAUGGGCGCAAGCCUGACCCAGCAACGCCGCGUGAAGGAAGAAGGCUUUCGGGUUGUAAACUUCUUUUCUGGGGGACGAACAAAUGACGGUAACCCCGGAAUUAGCCACGGCUAACUACGUGCCAGCCGCCGCGGUAAUACGUAGGUGGCAAGCGUUAUCCGGAGUUAUUGGGUGUAAAGGGCGUGUAGGCGGGAAUGCAAGUCAGAUGUGAAAACUAUGGGCUCAACCCAUAGCCUGCAUUUGAAACUGUAUUUCUUGAGUGCUGGAGAGGCAAUCGGAAUUCCGGGUGUAGCGGUGAAAUGCGUAGAUAGACGGAGGAACACCAGUGGCGAAGGCGGAUUGCUGGACAGUAACUGACGCUGAGGCGCGAAAGCGUGGGGAGCAAACAGGAUUAGAUACCCGAGUAGUC
rnacentral:rRNA from 1 species